CCUACGGGAGGCAGCAGUGGGGAAUUUUGGACAAUGGGCGCAAGCCUGAUCCAGCCAUGCCGCGUGUCUGAAGAAGGCCUUCGGGUUGUAAAGGACUUUUGUCAGGGAAGAAAAGGAGUUGGUUAAUACCCGACUCUGAUGACGGUACCUGAAGAAUAAGCACCGGCUAACUACGUGCCAGCAGCCGCGGUAAUACGUAGGGUGCGAGCGUUAAUAGGAAUUACUGGGCGUAAAGCGAGCGCAGACGGUUUGUUAAGCAGGAUGUGAAAUCCCCGGGCUCAACCUGGGAACUGCGUUCUGAACUGGCAGGCUAGAGUGUGUCAGAGGGAGGUAGAAUUCCACGUGUAGCAGUGAAAUGCGUAGAGAUGUGGAGGAAUACCGAUGGCGAAGGCAGCCUCCUGGGAUAACACUGACGUUCAUGCUCGAAAGCGUGGGUAGCAAACAGGAUUAGAUACCCGGGUAGUC
rnacentral:rRNA from 1 species